GGUGUUUGCACAGAUGGUGCUCCAGGUAUACUAGGAUGUCUAUCUGGAUUUCAACGUUUAGUACUGAAUGAGUCACCAAAAGUCAUCGGAACUUGCUGUACGAUUCAUCGGCAAAUAUUAGCAAUGAAGACACUGCCACAAGAGUUAUAAGAAGUAAUGAAAAGCAUCAUAAGUUAUGUCAAUUUUGUAAAGGCAAGCACUUUAAAAAGUGGACUGUUUUCUCAACUGUGCAACAAGUUGGAUGCGCCAAACAAUGCUCUGCUAUUUCACAAUGAAGUGAGAUGGUUGUUGAGAGGAAAAUUUUAAAACGUGAUUUUGAGCUUCAUGAUGAACUCCAAAUGUUUUUUAAUCAGAAAGCAAGACUUCAGUUCGAAGCACUUUUCAGCGAUAAAAGUGAACUGCAGAAAAUAGCUUACUUGGUUGCCAUCUUGAAUGAGUUAAAUUUAUCACUGCAAGAACCAAAUGCAACAUGCCUUGAUUUGUCUGAAAUGAUCCAAUCAUUGCAAAUGAAACUUCAGCUUUGGCAAAAAAAAAAAAAAAAAUUGGAU